AGAUUAAGUUAUUAAGGGCGCACGGUGGAUGCCUUGGCACUAGAAGCCGAUGAAGGACGUUACUAACGACGAUAUGCUUUGGGGAGCUGUAAGUAAGCUUUGAUCCAGAGAUUUCCGAAUGGGGAAACCCAGCAUGAGUUAUGUCAUGUU
rnacentral:rRNA from 1 species